GGACACUCUGGGAGGGGAGGAGAUCAAAUGGAACUUUGAAGUACGAAAACACAUGCGUGUUGUUCAGGUCUAUUUACUGCUCUGAUGGCUACCACUGAGAACAUGACAGGGUCUAAAAACAUACACCAUGCAAGCAACAGUGACUGGUUACAUGUAGAGAGACAUCUAAACCGCAGACUGUAUAUAAAGAUCGACGACAUGACAGCUCCCCGGAAGUGAAGCCAAAACAUCUGGAUCGCCCCCUGGUGGCUGGCUGCAGUAAAGCUCAUAAAUCCUGCCCCAGGAAUCUGAGAUGCGUCGUCCAUCUAUACAUCUAUCGUUUAAAAUGUGUGUGUUUGUGAGGGUCCCACCUGGUGCGAGGGGUACAGGCUCUAACCCCCCCAGCAGAUCCAGGAGGUCUCCUCCAGCAGUGCCGGCUGUGGUGAUGGGCAGGCCGGGUACUGUACCGCCUACUGCUGGGCUGGGCUGCAGAGUCUCCUCAGAGCCUCCCAGCAGGUCCAAGAGAUCACACACCUGAGGAGAAGGAAACUGAACCUUAACCUCAACACAAAACAUAUUUUUCUGCAUAUUCAGAGCAAAUACUUCAAAGGAGAGUAAGGCUGUGUGAACAGUAUUUGAAUGCACCCGUAUCUGAACAACAAACAUAAAACUAGAAAAAAGAAGAAGAGGACUCUGAGUAGCUGUUAACAAGAAACUUCAGUUGUAUCUUCCCCCCUGUAUUUAAUUUUUGUGUAUUUCACCAGAACAUUGCUGCUAAACCGGUUAGCUGGGAUUCUUUCCAAUUUGAUUUGCAUGAAAGCUGCUCUGGUUCUUGAACCGGUUCUGUUUGGGAUUCUUGGUACAUGGUGCUAUCUAGCAUACCAUGUGUUAGCCUGUUGUUAAUGUAAGCCCAGUAUCAAUGUAGUGUUUUUUUUUUACAUGUUCAAAAUAAACCAAUUAUAAAUCUA